CAAUAGCGUAUAUUAAAGCUGUUGCGGUUAAAAAGCUCGUAGUUGGAUUUCUGUCAAGGACAACUGGUCCGCCCUUCGGGUGAGCACAUAGUUUGGUCUUGACAUCUUGCUGGAAGCUGUUGCUGCACUUGGCUGUGUGGCGCAGUGUUCAGCACUUUCACUUUGAGGAAAUUGGAGUGUUUCAAGCAGGCACAUGCCUUUGGACACAGUAGCAUGGAAUAAUUAGAUUGGGCUUUUGCUCCAAUUUGUCGGUUUCUGGAGCUGAGGUGAGUAUUAAUGGGGAUUGUUGGGGGCAUCCGAAUUUAGCCGUCAGAGGUGAAAUUCUUGGAUCUGCUAAAGACGGACAACUGCGAAAGCGUUUGCCCAGGAUGUUUUCAUUGA
rnacentral:rRNA from 1 species